UCCUCGAUAGUAUAGUGGUGAGUAUCUCCGCCUGUCACGCGGAAGGCCGGGGUUCAAUUCCCCGUCCUGGAG
rnacentral:tRNA from 1 species